AUACGGAGGGUGCAAGCGUUGUUCGGAAUCAUUGGGCGUAAAGCGCGCGUAGGCGGCUUGGUAAGUCGGGUGUGAAAGCCCGGGGCUCAACCCCGGAACUGCACUCGAAACUGCCUCGCUAGAGUCUCUGAGAGGAAGGCGGAAUUCCCGGUGUAGAGGUGAAAUUCGUAGAUAUCGGGAGGAACACCAGUGGCGAAGGCGGCCUUCUGGACGAUGACUGACGCUGAGGUGCGAAAGCGUGGGGAGCAAACAGAAUUAGAAACCCCGGUAGUCC
rnacentral:rRNA from 1 species